rnacentral:rRNA from 1 species
UACGGAGGGUGCGAGCGUUAAUCGGAAUUACUGGGCGUAAAGCGUGCGCAGGCGGUUUGUUAAGCGAGAUGUGAAAGCCCCGGGCUCAACCUGGGAACCGCAUUUCGAACUGGCAAACUAGAGUCUUGUAGAGGGGGGUAGAAUUCCAGGUGUAGCGGUGAAAUGCGUAGAGAUCUGGAGGAAUACCGGUGGCGAAGGCGGCCCCCUGGACAAAGACUGACGCUCAGGCACGAAAGCGUGGGGAGCAAACAGGAUUAGAAACCCUGUAGUCC